rnacentral:rRNA from 1 species
GAUGAACGCUGUCGGCGUGCCUAAUACAUGCAAGUCGAGCGAACAGACGAGGAGCUUGCUCCUCUGACGUUAGCGGCGGACGGAUGAGUAACACGUGGAUAACCUCCCUAUCACACUGGGAUAACUUCGGGAAACCGGAGCUAAUACCGGAUCAUAUAUUUAACCUCAUGGUUCAAUAGUGACACACGCUUUUUCUGUCCCUUAUAGAUGGCUCCGCGCCGCAUUAGCUAGUUGGUAAGGUAACGGCUUCCCAAGGCAACCAUGCGUAGCCCCCCUGAGAGGGUGAUCGGCCACACUGGAACUGAGACACGGUCCAGACUCCUACGGGAGGCAGCAGUAGGGAAUCUUCCGCAAUGGGCGAGAGCCUGACGGAGCAACGCCGCGUGAGUGAUGAAGGUCUUCGGAUCGUAAAACUCUGUUAGUAGGGAAGAACAAAUGUGUAAGUAACUAUGCACGUCUUGACGGUACCUAAUCAGAAAGCCACGGCUAACUACGUG